AGGCUUCGCGGGGUGCUCCACAUCCGCCCCGCCGCGGAUCGCUGGCCAGGGGACACCGGGCUUCUGCGCUCAGCCGGUCGCCCCGCCCCUCGGGGCUUCGCUGCAGCCGGGUGGCCGCCGCCGUACGCGGCCCGGGAGCACAGACACCCGGGCGGCCCGCAGGGCCUUUUCUCCCCGGGGAACCCCGGAGGCGGGCGAGCCGGCCAGUCCUGCGUGCACGGCCCUGUGUCCGAGCGGCCGGUGGCAGCCAGCCUGGGCACGCAGCCGAGGACGCGGGGAGGGAGCCUGCCCCAGCCCUGAGCUCGGGGCCUGAACAAACUUUGUGCCCCGCGGGGGCGGCGGGAGUCAGAUUAGGGUCUCAUGUAUUCCAGGCUGGUCUUCAACUUGCUCUGUAGCUAGCCAAAGAUGACCUUGGACUCCCGAUCUCUCAGCCUCUGCCUUCUGAGUGUUGGAUCCUAGGUGUGCGCUGCCAUCCAUGCCAGUUGCUGCAGGACCGGGAACUGAAGCCAGGCCUUGUGCAAGCGCGGCCUUCACUCUACCAGCUAAGCCCUCGACUCAGCUCUAAUUUUAAAUUUGGAGUUCCUCCACUUAAUACUAUAAUCCUUGCCUCCCUUUAUUUUCCUCUUGGAUGAAAUUAGGAUAAUAAAAGUUCUGGGGCUGGAGAGAUGGCUCAGCAGGUAAGAGCACCAGCUGCUCUUCCAGAGGCCCUGAGUUUUCAAUUUCCAGCAACCAGAUGAUAGCUCACAAUUGUUUGUAAUAGGAUCUGGUGCCCUCUUCUGGCCUGCAGGUGUACUUACACAGUACUCAUACAUAAGCUAGAAAAUCAAGUUUUAAAACAAACACUCUAAAUUAGACAAAAUACUAUAUUGUAAUGGCAAGGAUAACUGCUGUGGGAUUCGUUAGGGCUCAGUUUCAAAAGAGAGGAGUUGGCCAGCGAUUGAGGUGAGGAUGUAGCAGUCCCUGCGGGGAGUUGCUGCCUUUCCCCUGUGCAUUAUUUUUAUUGCUUUCUGUCUAAAUCCCAGGAAUUACACCAGGCAUCUGGCAUGGAAUUGAAUAAUAGCAUGCAAGGUGAUGUUCUGGAACGCCUGGCUGAUGCAGAGAAGUUAGUGGUGGAGCUAAAAGGACGUCAUUAGACAGGAGGACGAAGCUCUGCAGGUGUUGGCGUUCGCUAUUCACUGAGCAUUCGAUAAAGACAGUUCAUCCGCUUAGAGCGUUAGCAUCUUCUUAUUGCUAAGUGCUGUAACGCGCUGCCUGCCGCGAGUAAGCUGUGUGCUGGGUCAACAGUGAAUACCCGUUUAUUGUCUUCAUUGCUCUAUGGCAGGAGGAGCGUAAAGCUGCUGAUAACAAAAUUAAAAAAAUAAUAAAACUUCAUGCAGAAGUGAAACUCACUUCUUUGAACAAACACCUCGAAGAAAUGAAGGCACAAGGAGGGGCUGCUUCGCCUAAGCCCACCGAACUUCUGGCAGCGGGGCCGCUCUCCAAGGUACGGGAACUGGAUAGAAACUUGCAGUCCUCUGAGCCAGGAGCCCUAGCUCAGCACACCUGCAGCGGUGAGAUGAUGCCGCAGAAAUGCUGCCCUUCCCUCCGAGCCUGUGGUUUGCUUGGACCGAAGGCCACACUGGGAGAGCAAAGGCGCACAGAAAUGUGAGACUCCCAGUGAGACUCUCAAAGGGCUGACAGGAAGAAGUGAGUCCUGGAGCGAGACAGAGAGGAGAACAUAUCCUUUGUGGAUGAGUUUGAUUAUUGGCUCUAACAUUAAAAACUGUGGUCUCUAA